GAUAAGUUUGUGAUAGAUAGAACGAUAUAGUAAUUUUUAUUUUAGAAUAAAUUGAGGUAUUAUGAAUAUUUUGUGUUUUAUGUUGAUGAUUUUUAGAUAUGUUUAUAGUAGAGGAGUAAAAAUAAAAUUAUUAGAUAUUUUAUAUUGAUUAGUUUUUAGUUUAUGGGAUUUUGAUAUUUUUUGAGGUUAAAGUUUUUUUGUAUUGGAAGUAGUUGGGUUUGUAAGGGUUGUUUUGUUUUGAGAUUAUUGAAAUAAGAAUUUAGAAUUUGAGUAUUAUUAUUAAAAAUUAUAAGGUUUAUAUUGAUAUAGAUAUUAAUUUAGAUAGAUAAGAUAAGAUAUUUUUUAGUUUUUUGUUUGAGAUGGAAAAGAUUUUUUUGAGUUGUUUUUUUUGGGGAGUGGGGGGUGGGGUUGGUGGUUAGGUAGGUUUUGGGAAGGAGUUUAGGGUUUGGAAUUGUAUAUGAAAAGAAUUAGUUUUUUGGGUUUUAAGGAAUUAAGUUUUUUUGGAAAUUAAUUUUGUUUGGUUUUAUAGAAUAUUAUGGUUUUUUUAGGUUAGGUUGUUUUUUUUUUUUGUAGUU
rnacentral:misc_RNA from 1 species